CCGCCUGUCAUGUUCGGAACUGGAAAUUCUAUUUUCGGACCACAAUUGGCAAACAACAGAAGUCUUUUUUAACGCCGAGUGAUGGGUAAAAAUGUCAGAGGCCUCACCGAGGCAUAUUAAACGCACCAUAGAGCGAGACGCGCAGUGAAUCAUAAAGUAAAUAAAUAAGUGCGACGCUCUCGGUGACCGAUUUGUUGAGGGACAGCAACGCAUCCGCUAGAUACUCACUGGGUUGUCCGAGAAUCUGGUCGGCGUUUCAGAUUCAGCUUUUGCUUCUGCAGCGCUUUUGAUUGUGAAUGUGAUUUUGUUUAUGUGCCGCAUUUUUCUGUUGAAAGACCAAACACAGACGUUCCGUUGUCACCGCAUUGCUGCAGAAAUUAACGUGCCUAUAUGGAAUAUCAGUCGCACUUAUCACAUUUCUUGACUUGGACUUACCCCGUUCGGUGGGGUGAGUCAGUUGUUGAGCAACUCGCUUGGCUUGACCAAGUGUUGGAUCACCGUGGUCGGGUUCUAAGUAGCAAACCCGUACUCGUACCAAUCACCGACUCCCAUAUACAGAAGACAUCGUGACACCUCCGCCGCUUUCCCCUUUUUCAAAAAUGCGACAAUCAAAUCGGCUGUUCGAUAUACUGAGAAAAAUAAUGGACAACUCUAUAUUCGUUGAUUUGGUAUUCAAGUGAAAAUAACCCACAUCUUUUUCGCCGUGCACAAUUUGUAUUAAUUUUGAAAUGGAACACGCGUAUGUCACAAUCACACCGAAACGAAAAAAUAAAGAAUUUAAUAUA